AGUGAACGUUGGCGGCGUGGAUUAGGCAUGCAAGUCGAGCGAGAACCGUAGCAAUACGGGGACAGCGGCGAAAGGGACAGUAAUGUGUAGGUACCUACCCCGAGGUCUGGGAUAGCAGCGGGAAACUGCAGGUAAUACCGGAUAAUGUCUUCGGACCAAAGGUGUGAUUCCACCUUGGGAGGGGCCUGCAUCCUAUUAGCUAGUUGGCGGGGUAAUGGCCCACCAAGGCGACGAUGGGUAGCGGGUGUGAGAGCACGACCCGCGUCAUUGGGGCUGAGACACUGCCCAGACACCUACGGGUGGCUGCAGUCGAGGAUCUUCGGCAAUGGGCGAAAGCCUGACCGAGCGACGCCGCGUGCGGGAUGAAGGCCUUCGGGUUGUAAACCGCUGUCGUAGAGGAGGAAAUGCAGGUGGGUUCUCCCAUCUGUUUGACCUAUUCUAGGAGGAAGUACGGGCUAAGUUCGUGCCAGCCGCCGCAGUAA
rnacentral:rRNA from 1 species